rnacentral:lncRNA from 1 species
UCAGUCCUUGGCCUGGGAACUUUCAUAGGCCAUGAGUAUGGCCAUAAAAAACAUUUUUUUAAAAAGAAUACUUAUUUAUUUAUAACAGUAAACGAUUAGAAAUAUCCAAACUUCUAAAUAAUAAGGGAUUUGUUAGGGAAACAAUGCCUACUCUCUGGCAAGAAUAGUCUGUAGCCAACUAAAAAUCGUGUUUACAAAUACUUUUAAUGUCAUGGGGACGUGAUCAAAAUAUAGUUAAGUGAAAGGGGCGGGGAAAUAAUAACACAAUUGUUAAGAUAAUUGUCUGAACUUGGGAAAAUGUCUUCAGCCCUCUGGGCCUCUGUGUGUCCUCAUCUGAAAAUCAGGUACCAUACCAACCACACGGCUUGUCGUGAAAAAGAAUUAGAUGUUAUUUAAUGAUCUAGGACAGAGUCUGGGGUAGACAAGCGAUUCAUGGUUCUCGCUGCAAAGAAACUCUUGACCAAAGGUGCUGGAAGACACGGUCCCCCAACAUUCAUGGCAGGUUGUGUUCAAGGGGGUAAGACAAUGAGUAAUUUCAACUUUCUCCUUUCUUUUCCUCCUUCCCAUACCUUUUAUAACCGGGUAGAUGACUGAAGGAGAACACUCCUAAUGACUUCUACUCCCUCAGCAGAUGAUUACAGUUCUGGCAAUGCACCGAGCAUUGCUGUAGGCGUUGAGAUCCGUGGAUAAGACAGAAGAUCCCUGCCUCUGCCUGGCCUAAGCAGGGCAACAGAGAACAACGGACACAAUGCAUAAGUCAGGUCUCUGCCAGCACCAGAAGGAAGACACAUCGGUCAGAGUAGGAGUUCAGCUAAGGACAGACCAGACCUUGGCCUGCUCUAGCUCCCAGGCGAGGCCUUCUUGGGGUUCUCCAGUAUUGGGAGCAAGUCAGAGCCUGGCUCUGGUGCCCAAGAGUGUGCCUGGUGCCCAGUGGGAGCUAUAGUUCUUAUUAUUUUGGGCACAGGGCUUCAUUCAGAAAGUGGAUGCGUGUAAUUAUAGCAAAGUUAUGAAUACUGUGAUCCUUUUCAUUUCUGUAACUAUGACUUCCAGACACCUGCUCCAUUCAAGAGAAAAAAAAAAAAUAGGUUUAGUUUGAAAAGUGCUUCUUCUGAAACGUGCAGUACCGAAUCUCUUCCGCUGAGGACGCGCCCCGAGGGAGGGCAGCGGCCGGGAGGGAAGGUGG